rnacentral:rRNA from 1 species
UGGGCGUCGAGCGGCGGACGGGUGAGUAAUGCCUAGGAAAUUGCCUUGAUGUGGGGGAUAACCAUUGGAAACGAUGGCUAAUACCGCAUAAUGCCUACGGGCCAAAGAGGGGGAUCUUCGGACCUCUCGCGUCAAGAUAUGCCUAGGUGGGAUUAGCUAGUUGGUGAGGUAAUGGCUCACCAAGGCGACGAUCCCUAGCUGGUCUGAGAGGAUGAUCAGCCACACUGGAACUGAGACACGGUCCAGACUCCUACGGGAGGCAGCAGUGGGGAAUAUUGCACAAUGGGCGAAAGCCUGAUGCAGCCAUGCCGCGUGUAUGAAGAAGGCCUUCGGGUUGUAAAGUACUUUCAGUUGUGAGGAAGGGUGUGUAGUUAAUAGCUGCGCAUGCUUGACGUUAGCAACAGAAGAAGCA